AACCCAUGGUGAGCGCACCUUCGCAGUAAGUCCUUAUAUCUCUCCCAUGCAUCGUAGAGGGUUUCUAAAUCCAUCUGCACAAAAGAAGAGAUAUCAUUACGUAAUUU
rnacentral:snoRNA from 1 species